GACGAACGCUGGCGGCGUGCUUAACACAUGCAAGUCGAACGGAAAGGCCCUGCUUUUGUGGGGUGCUCGAGUGGCGAACGGGUGAGUAACACGUGAGUAACCUGCCCUUGACUUUGGGAUAACUUCAGGAAACUGGGGCUAAUACCGGAUAGGAGCUCCUGCUGCAUGGUGGGGGUUGGAAAGUUUCGGCGGUUGGGGAUGGACUCGCGGCUUAUCAGCUUGUUGGUGGGGUAGUGGCUUACCAAGGCUUUGACGGGUAGCCGGCCUGAGAGGGUGACCGGGCACAUUGGGACUGAGAUACGGCCAAGACUCCUACGGGAGGCAGCAGUGGGGAAUAUUGCACAAUGGGCGGAAGCCAGAUGCAGCAACGCCGCGUGCGGGAUGACGGCCUUCGGGUUGUAAACCGCUUUCGCCUGUGACGAAGCGUGAGUGACGGUAAUGGGUAAAGAAGCACCGACUAACUACGUG
rnacentral:rRNA from 1 species